UUCCCCGCCACACGUCCUCUCAACGCUUCAAGAGCAUCUCUGAGCUUCUUUAACAGCACAUGCUUCUCCAGUGAAGCUGCAUCUUUCAUUCUUGCCUCAUCAGACAACUUGGCAGCAGCAGCCAGACCCUUUUCAAAUUUACUGGCUAGAUCACGAACAGACAGCCUUUUUUGCUGCUCUAACAAGUGUGCAGUUUCUCUAGCAACCACCUCUUUCAUUGUAAGUGCCUUAGAAUCUUGCUUGACCUCCAUAAUCUGAUUGUUAGGUCCAAUUUUG
rnacentral:misc_RNA from 1 species